rnacentral:misc_RNA from 1 species
UUUCCGUAGGUGAACCUGCGGAAGGAUCAUUACUGAGUGAGGGCCCCUCGGGGUCCGACCUCCCACCCGUGUUUAACGAACCUUGUUGCUUCGGCGGGCCCGCCUCACGGCCGCCGGGGGGCAUCUGCCCCCGGGCCCGCGCCCGCCGAAGCCACCUGUGAACGCUGUCUGAAGUAUGCAGUCUGAGACAAUUAUUAAAUUAAUUAAAACUUUCAACAACGGAUCUCUUGGUUCCG